CAACAAGCAAAGCCUACUUUCACAAUCACUCUUGGACCGAUGAAUCAUGGAUACGGUCUACUCCAACACAAUAACAAUGCUUUAUGGGAGUGAUGUUGGAAUCAGCAGUACAGAACCUGCGCAAAUACGAAACGGUGUAUUUCUCAACGUGGCAUGCACAACAGAAACUGAGCCAAAUCUGGACAUUCUUUUCGAAGAGUAUCCAUCUGAAUCCCGUACUCUAGGAGCACAUUACAUGGAGAUUCAUUGGAAUUAACCCAGAAAGAGGGACCAGGGCCAGCCAUGGUAUGGUAGUGUCCAAGAGGACAGGGAGAGUUUUUCAGAACAAGUGUGUCACGGUCAACCCCCAUGUGUCCACUCUUCUGAAGAAAAGCCAUGGCUAUUCCAAGUUUUGUCCUUGUUUAUAUACAUCUUUUUGUUCUCCUGUCUACUUAAUUUGCUACACUUCACUUCAAAAAUGGUGGGUAUUUAUGCUAUAGAACACUGAAGAAAAACUUUUGUUUAUGUAAACCAGAAGGGAAUAUGUUCACUUGUCCCAGAACAUGACUGUUCUUGUAUAUGUUCAGCAUCUUAGUAGACACUUGAUCAGAUCGUAUGUGAAAGGAGUCUUUCUCUUUAUGUUUGAAAAUAUCAGUUUAAGUUGAUUUAAAACUAGUUGCUUUUAACAAAUGAAUUAAGUUAAGACUGUUGCUCUAGUUUGAAGAGAUGAUGUGUCUUGCCACUCUGUUGUGAAAUUUAUUUUAUUAUAAUGAUUUGUGUGAUUUUUUUCGUACUUUUCAAAUUUGACUGGCUAGAUUUAAUACUGCUUAGAUUGGUAAAAUAAAAAAAAGAAAAAGAGAAAAGAAAACAAAUCUAUUUCAUAUUUCUUAAUUUUUGUGAAAAUAUUUGUAUAUUUUAUAUAAUAUAAUCUUUUAAAAUAUGGUUUGGACUGAAGUUAUUUUUCAAUCCCACUGACAAAAGGUACAUUUUGUUUUAAAAAGGCAGCUUCUCAGAGUGGCAAGAUGUGUCGUUCCUCCCAAGUUUAUUAAAAAAGCUGUAGUUAUGCAUAUGUUGUGUAUACUUGACAUUUACUGUAAUAGAAAAACUGUUUGUAUUAAGAAAUUCAUUACAGUUCUCAGUUGGUGCUGCCUUUUUAUGAAUAAAUCUUGGAUUACAUAAUUCAUUUUUAUAUUUUCGGUCUCUUCUUUUCCAGUAGUUCACUGAAUCAUUCAAUAUAUGUCGUAUAGAACUAAAGUUAUGAAUAUCAAGUUUACAGUGAAGACAGUGCUUAAUUCAUAGUAAUUGGCUGUCAUCAAUGCUGCCUUUAAUAUGGUCUAUUGACAAAAAUGACUACAUGUUACUGCAUUUGGAUUAUGAUGAAAUUCCAUUGU